CCGGAACCCUCCUCUUCCUUCUCCCCUUCCUCCUCGUCCAGCCUCCCCAUCCUGCAUGGCCUGGCCGCAUUUCCUCUUCCUUGCACUCCUUCAUUCAUUCCUUCCCAUCAACUCACGCAGCAUUGUGGGACAGGCGGGAGCCUCCAGUGAGGAUCCCAGAGGGGCACAGCAUGGCCCGGAGUUCCCAUCCUUGGUGAUCUCCCAUAGUUGUUGAACAAAGGACACCCCGACCCAGACACAAGCUGGCCUUGUGACACCAGUGAGCUGGAGAGUGUGAGGAGAGUAAGACCAGACCAGCGGUGUUGGCACUCGCUGCUGGAGGAGAGAUGGUCAGGUGGACAGCAGGGACAGAAGGGAGAAGCACCAGGCAGGAGGGGGACCUCCAGCUGCAGGCAGUGAACAGUUUUAGUGGUAGGAAGUGGCAUGCAAUGAGGGCUUUAGGUGCUUGGCACUGAGAGCUCCAGGGCACCAGCAUGAAGUGUGCAGGUUGCAGAGGUUGAGGUCCAGAAUCCCAGGUUGCAGGAACACCCUGUCCCUCUCCUGUCCUGGCAACCACCUCCCUGCCUUCUUCCAUGGUGGAUGGAGCUGGGCAGAGGCCCUCCGUGUUGGCUUGCUCUGAGCCCCUCUAGACCCCGGUCCCAGCAGCCUGCCCACUGAGCUGGGCUGCGCUGGACUGGGCUGCCUUGCCCGCCCCCAGGAAAACAGAGAAGGUACCACCUGGGCAGCAGGGGUGAUGGGAAGACCCUGGUUGUCAUGGUGAUUACUCAUGGCUGCAGAGUACAGUUCCAGGUAGGUGGGAUCUCCUGCAGCCCUGUGGGGAGGAGGCAUUCAUUAGGAAAAAACCCUUCAAUGUGCAGGCUGCCCUCCGGAGAUGGAAGGACACAAGCCCAUCCUGUCUGGGAUCAGAGCUGACACCUGCUGCUCAUGAGCUGUGUGGCUCUAGGUAACAACUGUGGCUUUUAGGACCAGACAUAGGGAGCUUGGCCUCUCAAGAUGGUGGAUAGGGGAGCACCUGCCACUGAGCACACCCUUUUCUUCUCCUCCCCCGAGCAGACUCACCAGGUCAACCGAUCGAGCUCCAUCCUCACUGUGCCUUUUAUUUCCCACCUACAGUCCAUUUGUGGAGCACCCUAAAUGAAGCCACUUAGAACUUAUCCAGCAUGGUCACAACCUUGGUAAAUCAGUAAAGAGGCAGAAUUGAUUGGACUCGCUUAUAAAGGGCAGGGCGUGGCUGGGAGGUUGAAAGAAAGAUGAAAUGGGGAGCAAGUUCUGAGUCAGCACUGGCCAGACUAAGUAUCUUCCUGUUUUUAUGGAGUGGGGAUGGUACUAGUAACAGGAACACAGGAUGUAACCCCCAAGAGGGACUGGAGACGGUGACUCACAUCCUGUGGCCCUUAUUUUACAGACAGGGAAACUGAGGCGGGAGAGGUCUAAGCAUGGCAAUGGCUGGUACCUCCUGUGUACAUCAGGCUAUUGCUAUUCUCCCUGUCACGCAACUCGUACCAUCUCCAUCAGAGACAAGCCUGGGGCCCAGGAGUGAUAGGGUAGAAAAGAUAAGUGUGACAAGUCAGAAUUCUGGUACAGUCUGGAACUGUCUGACAGAUCCCUCUUCUUUGGAACCAAGAGGCAAACUUGGGCCUAAAUCCCAGCUUCUCCAGCUACUGGCUGUGUGUAGUGGCAUUGGCUACUUUCCCCUUCUGAGCAGCAGGGAUGAGGUGGAGACUCCGUGCCCAGCAUAGCACACAGUCGGUUUCUCUCCCCCUCCCCUGGCUCAUCUAAGUCAAAGCUGUUUCAAAGCCAGCCCUGUGCCAGCCCUCAGAUGUGCUGCUUCCUCCUCCAGGGCCCCAUCUGUAAGGAAGGGUGAACCUGGGCAGAGACCCCCUAUCCAGGGACAAGGCCACCAAUGGGGGAGGCGGCUGUAAACUGCAGCAAGUCUUACCAACACAGGCCGUGCUGGAUGCUGGAGCUCUUGCUCUGAGUCCAUGGGAGGACAAAGGUUGUGGGCACUGGGUCAGGCAGAACCUCUGCCCCUUCCCAGGGGGGGUGACUUUGGGCUGGCGAUGUGCCCUCAGUGGAGGCCCAGCCCUCUUUCCACGGAGUGAAUGACCCAUGCCUCCCUGUCCUUGUAGUAAGCAGGCGGCACUCAGGGCCAGGUACUGAGGCAUGGAGCAUCCCAAAUCUAAAAUGCUAAAUCCAAAACUUUUUGAGCACUGCCAUGAUGUUACAGAUGGAAAAUUCCACAACCAACUUCAUGUGACAAGUUUCAGUCAGGAUGCAGAUGCACUAAAAAUACUAUACAAAAUUACCUUCAGGCUAAAUUUAUAAAAUACAGGAAAUAGAAAAGAAUGUUGUGUUCAGAUUGGGGUACCAUCCCUAAGAUGUCUCACCAUGUAUAUGCAUAUAUUCCAAAGUUUUUUUUUAAUAUGAAAUCUGAAGUAUUUCUGGUCCUAAGCAGCAGAUACGGGGUACUCAACCUGUAUUCCUAUUUAAAGAUAAGAUAAAUGAGGCCCACGUGGAGGUCACUGGCUAAAGGUCCAGUCCCCCAGGUCUUCAGUUGUGUUUUCACAGUCAGCUGUGUCUUUCCAAAGAACUACACUGUCUGGGCUUCUUAAGAAUGUGAUGGCUGUGCUUGAGGACAGUGGCCAGGGCCUUAUAGGCCCCACUGGUGCCCUGUCCCUUCCUGCCUUCCUGCAAUGCGGAGGCCAUUUAAUGUGCCCUAGGCACUCCUCCUUUAUCACAUAUCUCUGAGCACCAAAUGCCACCUUCAUUGUAUGCCAGGACCCAGGGCACAGAAGAGAACAAAACUGACAAAGCUCUGCCUUCUCAGUAUUUAUGGAGAGAACAAGACAAACAAUAACACAUAAAUACACAUGAUGUCAGGAAGUGUUUGGAACAGGCGAGGUGACAAGCAGCUCUUCAGUCCCAGGGCCAAGGGGCAGCUUUGCAGGGGAGGUUGAAUGAGUGAAGAUCUGAAGGAAGAUCCAGGACACCUGGAGGGGGAGCCAGGCAGGGGAUGGACAGCCCUGGCAAGGCCCUAGACAGAAGCCUCAUGUAGGGAUGACAAGAAGGACAAGUGUCAAGGCAGAGGGAGGGAUGGGCUGUCAGACCUAGUAGGACUUUGCUAAGUGGCAUGUUGUUUGGGGCUGUAGAGGCCUCUAAGCAAAGGAGGUCCCAGAACUGCUCCCAGCACACAGAGCCUCAUGUGUAGUGUUCUGUGAGGGCCACGUGACCGGAUGCUGCUGAUGGCUGUCGUCAGUUACCUGUCUGUCCCCCACUAGGCAGAGCUGUCCCAGGACACCUUUGACCACCUUGGCCAGGAACCCAGGCAGCUGACCCUUAGCAGAGUGAGAGUUUUACAGAUUCUUUUGGGAAGGGGGAUGAUACAGGAGAGAAUUGACUUACACAGCCACUGUGAGUACAUUUCACAGGAGAUGGAGACUUCUCUUUGGGCUUCUCCCUUGUGCCUUGGGCACAUCUCAGCUGGAAACUUCAGGUAGGGGUCCCUGCCUUGAGCUACAGCCCGCAUGACACCCGAAGGCUACAGUGACCUGGCUGGACUUCAGCAGGUCCCAGCAGGGAGGGUUCUCAGAGGGCAGGCUGCCCAGUAAACCAUGAGCUAUUUCUGGCCAGAAGCCCUCAAGCCCCACAGAGGUAGGACACCUACCCUCUCAUGUGACCUCUGAGACUUGUCCUCACUCUGGAUCUGUGAUAUGAGCAGAAUAAUCAUUGCACUAAGACCUGUACUGGAUGAAAGUGAGCCACAUCUGCUAUCUUGGGUCAGGACCAGGAGCUGUGGGGAGUGGGGCUGCUCAUGUCGGUGCAGGAGAAGCUGGCCCUGCCUCCCUCUGUCUUUUCAGUGACAGUGGCAGGAAGCAUGUUUGGGCACCUCCCUCGCAUGGGGCUUCCUGUGUGUCAUUUCUUUCAGCCUCAGGAGUUCAUAUCAGGCCUGUAUGAAGCACAUGAGGACAGUGAGGCUCAGAGCAUGUUGGCAUCCAAAGGGGACUUGGAGCAUUUCUACUUUGGGAGUGGGUGCUGUACUGUAGUGACCAUCACCCACCCACAGGUCAAUGAGCAUUCAGCAGGAGGAGCGACCAGUGACCCUCUCUGAACCACCCUGAGUGAAUGCAGUGCAGGAACCCCAGCUGUGGGCCACAGCAAGGACACCUACUGGAAGUUUCCAGCUUGGAGGUGCUACAGAUACUCAGCCCGGGGCACUUGAGCUGCUCCUUAGACUUCUCAAUGUGUACAGCCCCCAGGGGUGCUGGUCAGAAUGUGAGACUCAGACUGUGGCAUUCAAGGCCACAGUGCUUGGAACAGAAGCCAAAUUUAAAUGCAUAGCAGGACCUAGUGUGGUUUGAUAUGCUUGGGGCAUGUGAAGGGGCUGUGACAUCUCCAGCCUUGGGGAGGAUUAGAAGUGGUUGAUCAGAAGGCUGUGUAUUCCUUCAACCUGAGCUCCAUGCAGGACUUGGAGAUGAUCCUUACGGCCACCUUCCACUUCUACUCAGGGCCCCCACGGUGGCCCCAGGCGCGAGAUGUGCCCUACAAACUUUGGGUCAAGAGCGCCCCAUACCACCUGCCGCCCCGGGCCCGCGCGC
ensembl:lncRNA